GUUUCUAUAGUUGAAUAACAACGAUGAUUUUUCAUGUCAUUGGUCAUAGUUUAAAUCUAUGUAGAAAUU
rnacentral:tRNA from 1 species